AGAAAAUUGAUCCUCAUCCAUCCCCUCUCUCUUUCGUCAUCUCUCUCUCCACGCUACUCUCUCUAUCUCUGUAAAGAUUUUCAACAGCUCUCUACUCCCUCCGAUCAGCCACCGCGACUCCUCCAACCACUCCACCGUGAAACCUGUAAUACACUCCAUCAAUCCAAGCUUUCAAUUCUCCCUUCUUCCCCUCAAUUUGGAGCUUAGGUUGCAAACCCACCUCCACUUAUCUUUGGAAAAUAGUUGAAAUUAGAGGUGAACUGAGUGCAAGCACAAGCGAUAAGGGAAAAGGGCACCUCCAUGGUUGACUAAGCAAGUAAUAGAGUUUUUUUUUUACGUUUACAGGUGAAGUGACAGAAUUACUUCAAGGUGAAGUGACAGAAACGGUGAUAUUGAAAGAGUAUAGAAGCGAGUGAACUCGCUAGUUGGCAGCAGCACGUGUCAAGUCACCACCUCCAUUUUUGCUGGUAAAGUUGGAGUUUACACGUGGCAUGCUUAGGCUCUUUUGUUUGUAAAUAGUUGGGUUACAAAUGUAAGGUUAUAACCUUCUUUUGCUAAUAGGGAUGUAAAUAAUUAUCGAAGUAAGUUAUCAAUAUUUUGUUAUGUAUAGUAGUAAAUAGUUAUGUUA